AUCCUGAUGAGCACAGACAAGUAGUGAAUGGCACACAUCACUUCACAAAAAGAAAUAUGAAAAUAUCUGAGAAUGGAGAGAGAGAGAGAGAUAAGGGAUAGCAAAGGUGGGAGAACACAAACAUCCAUUGGAGAGCAGAUGCAGACUAUGUCAGCACUUAGCAGUCUACCGAUCUCUGGAUCUCUGCAACUCCUUAAAAAGGAAAUGAAGAAGAACUUUUGCAAAUGCUUGUAGAUAUAGAUUUUCCUACUGCCCUACACUUAUAAACAAUCCAGCCCGGCAGACUCAUGCAGAAUUGAAGCUUCUUCAUAUGGGUUCAUUGCUCAGCUACAUUAAUUCAACUCUACAAAGUAAAGGUAUUUCAAGUGGGGAAGAGUUAUGCAGCACAACAAGAAUGAUUGCAAGAAUAUGAGGAUAUUUUGUUCUUUCUGAGUGAUUAUUGUAACUUCUAUUAUUAUUGUAAUAUCGGGACUUUAAUAGUAGUUAGAGUUGAUUAAUAUGUGAGUUGAUGAUCAUCAAAAAAUGAUCAGCCUUGUCAAAGCCAAGAAUAAGCUAUGUGCAUGGAUAUGACUUUAAAACCUUGUGCAUGACAUAUAAUUGAUUUCUUCAUGCAAAAGA